AAUGUACAUUUUGGAAUUCCUAAUUUAACUCCAGAUUCCAAUAAAAAAGGGACCAAUGUUACAAUUGACU
rnacentral:sRNA from 1 species